GCAGUGGUGCUUCAGUGGUAGACUUCUCACCUUACAUGUGGAAGACCCGGGUUUGAUUCCCAGCCAGUGCA
rnacentral:tRNA from 1 species